AGAAAGAAGAACUCUCAAGACAAUUAGUGCCCACCUGUGAAGUUCUGGGCACCUGACAAAGAUGCAGGGAAAUGAGGAAAUGGAGUUUCCAGAGCUUUCGUUGCUUUUCCAAAUCCCAAAGCCAAGUCGCCCUGGUCGUCCAGCUGCUUCCUGCCUGCAGGUGAGAAAGGAGACCGAGUAUGUUCUAAACUUUCCUCAGGGUUCUU
rnacentral:lncRNA from 1 species